GAAGAGGGGCCAGUUUGAGAUGCAGGCAACGAUGUAGCACUUGAAGCACCCUGCAGCUGCUGCUGAUUCUGCUGCAAUUGUUGAGGAUUCUGAUCUUGAUGAGUGCUCUGUUGCACUACAGAGGACCCAUCAAUCACUGAUGAGCCAGAAAUACUAAUAUUAUUUGAUGUAAAUGACAUGGGUGAGGCAGGUAAUCGUAAGUAUGAGUCCGUAUUAACACUGGCACUUCUCUGCAAAUGGGGGCCACCAGAGAGGGCAGAAUUUGCAUCUGUGACUAAAGAACUAGCUCCGACACUUGGUGCUGAGUUCGCCACACUGUUCAAAACUGCAUUAUUAAUAUCCCCAGAAACUGGACCCAGGUUUGUUCGACGGGCUCCCGUAACUGUGCUAGACGAGUUAACAAUUGAUGAGCUUAAGUGAGUGUUAACUACACUCUGUGACUGCCCAUCUCCUUGAAAGAAAAUUCCAGAAUGUGAAGAUGAUUGGGUUAACCCUCCUGUCACCCGCGAAGGUGUCAUUGGGGGCAUCCCCCUUUGGUGACUGCAGUCUGUGUAGCUCUCCAGAGCCGCACUGGUAUUUAAAAUAUUCUAAAAUAGCUCAUGAACUCUACGUAACAGACCGUGAGAAACCCCUGAUAGUAUUGCUUCAAUGUCUUCUUAAAACUCCAACCUUCACUGUAUUCCAAAACCUUUUACCAAAUCCAUCAACUCCCGUUCAACCAAAUGCACCCAGAAUUGUUCUUCCCUCUGAACACAACCUAACGAAUAAAACACAUAUACAUAUUCAUUAGUACAAGGAACACUUCAGCUAAAUCAAAUAAAAAACGACCAAAUCCAACAAUUGACCAAUACCCUUUUCCAGAAAGAAAAAUCACAAACCAACAAUCCCACACACCAAAUUCUCCUUCUCUUGAGAGAGGAAUUCGCUUCAAAUAGAAAAGUGAGGUAACAGUUAAAACUAUUAAAAUAUGUCUAAAUUCACUUGGUUUAUUUUCUUAUCAGAGCUAUGACUACUCACUUUUCCAUCUAAAAUGAAUCAAAACCCAAAUCCAUCAAAAGAUUAAUAUCACAGUGAUAAAAUAAAUUCCGAUACUCUAAAUUUACACAUUCAAAAGACCUAAACCCCAAAAUCAAAUUCAAAAAACUUAACAAAGGAACCAAAAAGAACAAACUGGAACCCCAAUUUCAUUCCUGACAUGCACAAUAAUUCAAUACCAUCAACAAAUUGCAAAGCAACCAAAAUACGAGAAUGUCCCCCAAACAACAGAAAAAGCAAACCUUAAACCUAACACCACAAAAAUCAAAAUUAAUACAGCAAAUAAUUUAUAGUUCUCUACACGAAUUUAAAAUACAAAAAAUAAUAUUCACUCCAAGAUCGAUCAGUAACUGGAAAAUUGAAAAACCCCAAUGAAGCUUUGAGAACAGUUCAGUGCCAAAACAAAUUGUUUGGAACUACUCACAGAGAAACCGCGAGCUGAAAAGAGAGAGAGAGGAGGCGAACGGAAGCGCAAUGAAUUGGAAUCGCAGAGAAUGAGAAAGGAAAAAGAAAAAAGAUGCAAAAAUCAGAGAGAAAAGAGUUUAUAACAAUGUGAGAGUGACCGGUGAACCGAUCACGCGCUAUCUUUCACCUGCAGUGGCAGGUCACGAUUGAGACACGUGUCGCGAAAGUGACUGUGGUGAUUAGUCGGUGAAAAAUCUGCAGCCGCUUCAAGACCAGAUUGCUGACGUGGCUAGCUUCAAUUGGAAGAGAGACUUUAGCAUGAGAGAAACUGUGUGUAGGUAAUUUCACUCACCAUCCAUUGUUUAGUUUGUAUAAUUUGGAGUCUAAAAGUCGUUUAGUGUCUUAUCUUUACUGGAUUUAAAAAAAAAAAACAGAUUAGUUUUCAAUUAUUUUAAUUUGUUUAAUUUUUUUCAAAAUAAAUUUUAAAGCUAAAAAAUAUAAACUCGGGAAUUUGUUCAUUUUAGAUUAAGUGAUUAUAUGUACAUAUUAAAAAAAUACCCACUUAAUUAUAUCAUUACAGAUAUUUUAAUGUAGAUUUCGUUUGCUUAAAAAUCAAAACUAAUUAAUUUAAAUAUUUUUGUUCAAUUUAGAGUUUUUUUUUUAAUUUAAACCGAGACAAAGUAUACGUCUAAACUCAUUAUAAGAUCAACUUUAAAGUAUACUUUUGUUUAUAAAUAAUUAUUGUAAACCAAGUGGUAUUUUAUAUGGAAGAUCUUGUUAUAAACGUAUGAGUAAAUAAUUAAUUUAGUAUAAUGAAUAUAAAUAUCAUUUAUUUUUCAUAUAAUAAAAGAAAUUAUAUAUUUAUUAUAAUAAUUUUAGUUUUGUUAAUUUUAUUGAAUUUUUUUAAUAAUUAAUAUAAUUUAGUAAGUAUUUUUUUUUAGUAAUUACCAGGUAUAUUUAUUAAAGAGAAAAUAAAAAUUUAUAUACAAUCAAAUUUGAAAAAAUUAUGAAAAAUUUUAAAUGUAUAAAAUAAAAACCUCUUUUCAAUAUAAUUAAAUAUUAAUAAUUUUUUUAAAAGAUAAUUACUAAAAAUCAAACAGCUCUUCAGUUAUCAUAAUUAAAAGUCAUUAUAAAGUUUUAAUUUUUUUUCCCCAUUUAUUAUACUCAUUGACUAUUUAGCCUAAAAGUAUUUGUAGUAGACCGAAGUGACUGUCUACACCGGUCACACAGUACCAGGUCACCUGCGGUGGGCGGUCACAUGUGGUACGUGGAGUUUAACGGUGACGGAUCCGCACGCAGCAGUUUAUAGACCUGAUUGAUGACGUGGAAUUUUUUUUUUUGUCGGGAAGCUCUUUGUAAUAUUAAGAGAAACUGGUGUAGGUGAUUAUCGCUCCGAAAAGAAUUUGGUUCUAAAAUUUUAGGGGGAAAUUGAACUUCAACAAUUACUUUUUAGGUUAUCCAAAAAUAAUUCCCCUAAUAUAAACAUAAAAAAAAUAUACUUUGACAAUCCUAAUAUUUAUAUAUAAUCCGUGAUGUAACAGUUAAAAAUAUAUAUAAGAAAAAAUAAAUUUGUAAUUAAAUAAUAUAAAAAUUAUUAAAAUAAUAAUAUUAGGAGUGAAAUGGUGAUGUAAAACAAGUGAUUAUCAAUAUAUCAUCCUCUUAAAUAUAAAUACUUGUAACCAGCAGAAUUUUUUUUGACCUUAUCUACAAUUAAUGCUUUAUUUAAAUUUACAUAUAGUUAACAAAUCAAGAUUAAAAGUUAUUGUUUAACAGUUGAAUAUAAUUAUUUUAUAUUUAAAUAUUUAUUAUUGUAAUUUUAAUAUACACAGUCUUCAUGUGACUUUCUUUCGGAAAUGGUAUACUUCUGGGAAUUAAUUCUCCUUAACAGCAGUAUUUCAUAUUUAAUUUCUGAAUAACACUAUUUUUAUUGAUGGUGAAAAUUCAGUUUUUAGGAAAUCAAAUUCUUACUUUUAUUUUUUAUUUUGUAAAAAAGGUUUUCAAAAUUUAGUUUUUGGAAAGUCGAAUUCUUUAGAUACUUUUUUCGAUAAAAAAUCGGAAUGGAGAAAGAUCGUUUAGUAGUGGAUCAUUGAAAUCCAAUUCUUGAAAAAUAUAAUUUUAACUUUUAAUUUUUUAUUUUGGUGUAUGAAUUCAUCCAGAAUUAAUUAUAUAGUAACCGACUUUUGAAAUACUGUUUUUGGAUUAUUAUUUUUUUUGCUUUAUUGGAGUGAAUGGAAACAAUAAAGGAAAUAUAAAAUAAAUUUAAUAAAUAAUAAAAUAAAAUUGUACCGACCAGUCCUCGAACAUCGAAGGGAUCGACAUCGGACCUCAUCAACAGAAGGACAGAUCGGACAUAGGUGGUCUAAACGGCUAUAGUGGGUCACGUAAGGUGAGGCUUAGAAUUACACUAGUUAGCAGUUAAAACAUCAGAUAUGAGAGGAAGCCCUAAGACACGAGGGAUCCAUGCAGGUGGUGUAUAUAGCGCUUUCAGGCGCGGCACGAGUAAAUAGUUCUUGGAGGCGCUAAGGCCCGUUAGGGUUAGGGUUUCCAAGGGAAGACUGCAUGCAUGGCACGUGAAUACUUAGGGCACCCAUAGAACAGAUGGCCCCAGAGAUUUGGUGCACAAGUUGGUACCCAUGCCAUUUUGUUAAUCAUUGCACUCCAGUUAAGGGAAGUUCUAUGUGCCAGAUUAUCUUAAGAUUGUGUAAUAGCGGCGCAGGGACGUUCUCCAAGGAACCCUAGACAUGAGUAACAGAACAAAGGUAACCUUAGUUUCAACCUAUAUAAAGGGGACUAAGAACCCUAACAAGGUACACAGUUUCUAAGACUGAAACUACUUUAUACACUUAGUGUUUCUUUGCCCUAAUACUGACUUGAGCGUCGGAGUGCAAACGGCCGCCAAAGCGCCCUUUGUCUUUGCAGGUGAGAGAUUCUUCAACCAAGGAAGUUCGUUUCUUAGGCGAAGAUAGGAAGGUCAGGGACUGUCGUUCGAGUCAACUGGCGAGCGAAUCAACCGGCGGGAACAAAAAUAAAAUAAUUUUAAAAAAAAAUUGUAAGUAAGAAAUAUUUUGAAAAUUUUAGUUAAAAAUUGGAAGAAUUUGAGGGGAUAAAAUAUUAAAUUAUGUAAGGUUAAAUUAUUAAAUUUUAUUUUAUAGUGAAUUUAAAUAUUUAUAAAAUUGAAAUAUAAGGAAAUAUAAAAUUUGUAAAUUAAAAAUUAAGAAUAUUAAAAAAUUUAAAGGAUAAUACUAAAGAGAAUGAAAUAAAAUAUUUUAUAGUUAUUGUGGGAAAAAUAAAUAAUUUUUUUUUGUUUUUAUUUUUAUUUUUAUAAUAAAUUUGAAUUGUGGAGAAUAAGUUUUAAUAAAUUUGUAAAUAUAGUUUUAUAAUAAAAUUCAAAUUGACUAAAAAAUAUAUAAUAAAUUAUAAUAUUGGUAUCAAAAUUAAAUAUUUGUAUAUUUUUUGUCAAAAAUAUAUCAAAAUAAGUAAUAGUAAAAAGAAAAUAAAUUUUUUAGGAUAUUUUAUAAAAAAAAUAUUAGUUGUAUGGUUUAAAAAGUUUUUGAUAAAAGUUAAGUUAUUCACUAUUGAUAUAUGUAUGUAAUGAUAAAAAAAAUUAAGUGGAUAAGUGUAUCAUUAAAUUUAAAAGAAUAAGUGUAUAAAUUAUAAAUAUAAAAUAAAAAUAAAUUAUAAUUAAAAUGGAAGAUGGUGUAAAUAAAUAAUGAAUUAUAUAUAAAUAUAUUAUAAAAUAUAAUAAGAAAUAUUAUGUAAUAAUAUUUUAUUAUAAAUAUACAUAUAAGAAAAUAUAAAGAAAAAUGAAAUAUGUGAUAAUAAUUAAUUAAGAUGUUAUCAAAGAAUAAAUAUGAAAUGGUGUUUUCCGGGAAAUUAAUUCUCAAAAGCGUGUCAUUUACGGAAAAAAAGUAUCGGCAUGUAUUGUUUGAAAUAUCAUAAAUAUAUUGAAAUUACUGCUUAAACAAAAAUAACUUAUUUUAACUGAUUUAUGUGUUUGUAGUGGGUAUUUGUAUUUUACAUUUUUUUUAAAAUGAACUAUUUUUAUAUUAUAAGCUAAUAAUUUAAUUAAAAUAUAUAAAUAAUGUACUUUCCUCGACCAAUCUCAAGAAUCAAAAUAAAUAUUUCUUAUUUUUUUUUCUUGGAUCUCAAUAGUUUUAUUCAAUAUCUUUAUUAAUUAUUAAUAAGUUCCAUUAGUGACUCUUUAGAUAAAUUACAUUCCUUAAGUUUACUAAGAGUACAUAGCCUCCAACCCUAAGUCGAUUCAAUUUUUUUUUUCUCUUAUCGUUUUGCAUUGAUUUAAAUUAAGUUGUUGUUCAACAAUUAUCAAAGUUAGAAAAUAAAUCUCUUUGUUGAAUUGUGUUAUGUUUUAAGCAAAUGUCAUGAUGCUAGAUAAGAUAAGUCUCCAAUGUUUCUUAAUAAUGUCGGUUUGUCGCCUGAUAAGGUCGUUCGUUGUUAAUGCCACCUGAUAAGGUCAGGUAGUUGCCUAAUAAGGUCAUGUCUCUACCUGAGCUUGUGACGAUAAAUGUUUCAAGUCGAGAUGGUGACAAUAAAUGUUUCCAAUCGAGAUGGUCGUGAUAAAUGUUUCAUACCGAGAUGUUGACGAUAAAUGUUAACAAUUGAAAUGGUCUCGAUAAAUGUUUUCAACCAAGAUGAUGAUGAUAAAUGUUUCCAACCGAGAUGGUGACGAUAAAUGUUUCCAAUCGAGACGACAACGAUAAAUGUUUCUAGCUGAGAUGGUGGCGAUAAAAUAUUUCAGGCGAGAUGGUUAAGAUAAGUGUUUCACACUGAUAUGGUGGCGAUAAUAUUACAAGCUAAGAUGGUAGCGAUAAAGUUUCCAACUGAUAUGGUGACGAUAAUGUUUCCAACCGAGAAGGUGGCGAUAAAGUUUCCAGCUAAGAUGGUGGCAAUAAAUGUAUCUAGCUGAGAUGGUGGCGAUAAAUGUUUCCAAUUGAGAUGGUGGAGAUAAAUGUUUCCAGCCAAGAUGGUGGCAAUAAAUGUUUCCAGUCGAGAUGGUCGCAAUAAUGUUUCCAGUUGAGGUGGUUGCGAUAAUGUUUCCACCCGAGAUGGUGACGAUAAUGUUUCCACCCGAGACGGUGCCGAUAAUUUUUCCAGUCGAGAUGGUGGCGAUAAUUGUUUUCAGCUAAAAUGGUGGCAAUUUUUUCAAUUGAGAUGGUGAUGAUAAAUGUUUUGAGCCGAGAUGGUAGCGAUAAUUUUUCCAACUAAGAUGGUGGCGAUAAUGUUACCAAUGUGGCGAUAAUGUUUCUAGCCGAAAUGGUGUGAUAAAUGUUUUCAGCCGAGAUAGUGCCAAUAAAUGUUUCCAGCUGAGAUGGUGGUGAUAAAUAUUUUCGACUGAGAUGGUGGCGAUAAUGUUUCCAACCGAGAUGGUGGCGAUAAUAUUACCAUUCGAGAUGAGUUACAUUCCCUUUUAGUAGGAGAUCACGCUAACUAACGAUACAUAUAUUAAACUAUUUGUUAAAAUAUAUUUAAUUAAUUUAUUGAUAAUAAAAUAUAAAUUAAAAUAGUAAUGUUCAAAGAGAAUAAACUUUGAGGUCAUUCUUUGAGGUACAUGGUUUUAAAUUUAGAUGGUGGUGAUAAUGUUUCCAUCGAAGAUGGUUGUGAUAAUGUUUCCAUUCGAGAUGAUUGUGAUAAUGUUUUCAACUGAGAUGGUGGCGAUAAAUGUUUUCAAUCAAGAUGGUGCGAUAAAUUUUUCCAACCGAGAUGGUGACAAUAAAUGUUUCCAACUGAGAUGGUGACACAAAAUGUUUGUGUUGAAUUAAGGGGAAGCUAAGUUCAAAAGGGGGGUGAAUUAACUUAGAAAAAUUUUCGCAAUUAAUUGUUUACAACAAUUCAAAUAGAGGAGUACACUAACUAAGAAAAUGAAUCUAUUUUAUUAAAAAACAAUUGAUUAAAUUCUUUAAUACAUAAUCUUAAAACAUAAACUUGUAAACUAGAAACACAAUUUGAAAAGACUUAAAUUUGUUUUAAAGAAACAAAUUUAUGAAUUAAAUUUAACAGGUUAUUUUGGAAUUAAGAGAUUAUUUUUCUGAUUAAGAAACAUAAUAGAGAUUUUACAGAUUCCAAGAUAAGUCCAAAAUUCAAAUAUAUCAAACAUUGUUUUUUUAAGAAAACCUUUGUUUCAAUUUAACUUGUUUAAUCAAUAACAAAUUUGAAUGAAUACAAACAAUAUUAAUAUACAAUGUCACACUUGAUAUUGCUUAUUACAAUUGUUUUAGUUAUUACAGAAAAAAAAAUGCAGAGAACAAAGAUCACAUAUUGAUUUUUACAAACAACCGAUUGAUUAUACCAGUACAAAAUAUUAUGCAGAAAAAUUAUAAAACAGUGAUAAAGAAAGCAUAAAAGACAUCAAAAUUUUAUACGGAUUCACUUACAACAAAGCGACAUUCGGUCUCACCCCACACCAAGGUGGAUUUCCAUUGAAGCAACAAAAUUUUUUUACAAGAAAAGCAAAAAUAGUUCUUGAACACUACAAGAACAACACCACUCAUUGCAACACCCUGUCAUAGUAAUGAUACACACCAAGAAACUCUAUCUUGGUCCCAACAAUUACAAAAUUACAAAACAAUAUAUAAGGGAACGAAUAAACCUUGACCGUGAACCAAGAAAUGCAACAAGACCUCUCAAAUCCAUAGCUACAAUAAAGAAUCUUUGACCUCUACCUAUAGACCGUGAAGUUUUUGCUCCAUGAAAACUCAAAUAUCUUUCAAAGACUAAUUCUUUCUAAAACUUUUCUCACUAAGGUUCUCACAGAUGUAAAAUUGUAAGUUGUAUGAGUAAUAUUUUUCUGAAAUAAUGCAAAUUCGUUUAUUGAGAUUUAACAUAAACGAUUUUUAAAUAAAAGGGUGCAAGUAAAAUCAACAUGUUCGAAACAAUCUGUUGAUUUUACUUUAAAAAAAAAUCUAAUAUGCAUGAAAACUAUUUUAUUUUUCAAAUAGAAAGUAUUCAAAUUAAAAACAUUUUUCAUGUUACGUAUUAAAACAUGGUUUCGAGUAUAUAAAACAUAUUACAGAAAAACCUAAAGCAUCUCAGUAUUUUCAAUCAAUUGAUUUAAAAGAUAACAAAUUGAAAAAUUGUAACUUUCUAGAAAACAAAAUUAAAACUAGUUGAAAAACUUUUAACCAGAUGAAAAAUAAUUUGUUCUUGGAUUCAUCACAUUCCCAAAGGCAAAAGAUAAAUCAAGAUAUACAAAAUAAAAAUAAGGCAGAAAGUCUUCAUCAUAGCUUCAUCAAACAUCAAAGUUGGAUCCUUGAGAUGUCCAACAGUUUGAAGUCGAGAUUGUAGUGUUUUGAGUCAAGAUAGUGACGAUAAAAUAAAAUAAAAGUUUUUGCAAUUUUUAGUGAUAACUUUUAUCCUUUGUGCUUUGCUUAUUCUUAAAAAUCAUAGCUCAAUUAUCCUAAAUGAUUUAUUUUAUUUUAAAGAAUUUCAUGCAAUUAUUAAAAGUAUAAUAAAUCUUUCACUCACAUUUUUUUUCUCAUAAUAGAUGGUCAUAAGCCUUGUCUUAUCACUUUUUAACCACUUAAAAUUUUCACCUUUUGGAUUUAACUUCUUGAAAAUGACAAGAACAUUAAAAUUCAAUCUCAAAAUCAAACCAAGUUACAUUUUUAAAAGAUCAAUUAAGAAAACACCUCAUUGUGACUAAGGGUGUCAAAGUGAGUCAACCUAACUCACGUUGGUUAUUGGUUGGUUCUCCAUAGGUUGAACUAAAAACAGAUUAGCUGAACCUGACUCACUUUAAGGUAAGUUAAAAAUUUUACAAUUUUACUCGACUCCACCCUCCUCCUCCUUUGAGACCGUAGAUUGGUUUACUUAAAGAAGGUUUGUUCUCCUAACUUAUUUUAUAUAUUUAUUAUAUUUUACAAUCAAAGUGAAUUGACUCAAAUCACCUAUUUAAUUAAGUUUAGAAAUGUUGCUAAAUUUAUUAAGAAGACUCAAAAUUUAUAUAGAAAUAAGUCACAAGUUAACAUACCUUAAACUCAAUCCAAACAUGUUUAACCCAUGAGCCGAAUUCAUUUUUAACAUAUAUUAAAAAAAAAAAAAUUUCAACUCAACCUUGAACCUUGAAUUGAACAUAUAGUGAGGUAGGUUGACUCACGAGUUUAAAAUAUUUUGACACCACUAACUGUAAUCCACUUCAACUUCAUCAAUUGGAAUCUGAAGUUCUUCAAAAUUUUGUCCAUCAUCUUCAUAACUAUGCUACUAAUUAAGGCCCUUAAAUCUAUUGCUUGUCAUUUUAUUCUUCAUAACAUUUCAUUGUUUGAUAGCUUGAUAGCUCAGUUUCAUUAUUUGGUUUACAACCAUGACCUUCCUUCUCAUUCUUUGUAAAUAUGUCUUCCUUAGUAACUUUCAUAUCCAUAAGGAGUGUGACUUGUAAACUUAACUUGAGGAGUCAUAUAAUCAACAAAAAAUCAUUUUCUCUUCACCUAGAUGCUUAGCUCCUCCAUUAACAUAUUCUUAUCACUUUCCUUUUUAUUUUCCAUCAUCAUCUUCCUUAUCCUUUUGCAAUCCGUGAGGAACCUUUUUACCCUUAUCAUUUUCCUUUUUUUAUUCAUCAUUAACCUUUUUCUAUUAUUUAGGUCAGCAUCCUCAACCUCUAUAAAUUGGCUCAACUUCCUCUUGCAACAAAUUUAUCUUUUCUUGGUCAUUAUGUAUAACCUCAUAUGGCUUUAUCGGCCUGUGCAUAAAGUGCAUAAAAUCAUACAUCUAAUUAGAAAAUGAAAACCAAUAAAUAUAUCAUCUCUAUGAACGAUCAGAAUGGCUAAAAGAAAUUGAAAGAAGCAACAAAAACUUAAUAACAAAAUGUCAUUACCCAUCAUUCAACUAAAAAGUUCAAGGACUGUACUUUCAGACAUUUCUCGUGCAACUUACAAAGCCAAAAUAAUCUUGUCUUCCAUAAACUAGCCACCCCGAAAAGUUUGAAGGAAUGGGAGAAGGAAAUAAGAGGAAGAUAAAAAGAUAGAGAACAAUUAUGUGGAAAAUUUUGUGCAUUAAAAGGCUUAUGCGAAUUUUUGUAGAUUAGUAUGUCACAAUAACCAUCACUAACUAUGUAUAGCACUUUCCUUCCUGUGUUAACGUGUUUGAAACACUUCUGAACCUUAUAGAUGACCAGUUUAAUAACUUUAGCAGGACAUCUUGAUUUGUAUUAAGGUUAUCCAAAAAAUUAAGUUCCGUAUAAAUAGUUUACUGCUCUUUUCAAUAGUCCAAUAGAUUACACUUGCAGGACAAAAAAGUCAAAUAAAACCCUAUAACACCUAACGGAGUCCAAGUCCAAACGAAAUCCACGAAGAAAAAUGACAAGAAAAUCAAGAGAGAAAUAGCAUCUACUAAAAGUAUCCUGUACAAAGAUAAAACACUUCAACAAGAUAUGCCAAUUACAUGGCCAAGUUGUGUUAGUCAUGCCUUCCAGCCAAAACCCAUGUCAUCAUCAAGAUCACUGUUAAAAAAGGGGUUAUCCGCGAAAUCAUGGCCAAUAUCCUGAACCACAUCUUGCAAAUGUAGACUUUGCGGCAUAUCAGAUGUUCUUGGGUUGAAUCCACUGUUGCCAGCAGCGGCAGAAGAAUCACUGUUUGAAGCUGUUUUGAAGCUAUUAUUCCUCGACAUGGGUCCAUUGUUUCGUGGAAGAUUGGCAGAACCUCCGCUUAAGGAUGGAGUAUGGCCACCAAAACCCAUUGCAUUCUUUGCCAUAUUCCCAUUUGCAUUGGGUCCACCAAGAGGCUGUGAUUGCAUUCCCCCAUUGUUAUUUGACAUUUCCUUCACUAGUUGGUGGAUCAUCUGCUGCUGCUGCUGUAGAGCUUGAUUUCCUUGGGACCCCUGUGAAUGAUUUUGUUGCAGUAAACCAUUUGCACUUAAUGUGCGUUGUUGGAGGAGUUGUGGUGACUGCUGCGAGGUUAGAUGGGAACCUGGGAAACCACCUACAGAAGAGUUUUGCAUUGAGCCUGGAAUCAAAGAAGGACCAGCUCCUUGCAAAGCAGAAGAGGGACUCGGGCUAGAAUUAUUGAAUGAGGAUCCUUCUCGCUGAAGGGAGCCAGGGCUAGAAUUCAUUGAAUUUUGUCUCACGAGAAGACUUUGGUAGUUGGUAAGUGCUAAAUGGGAUGACCCACUCAAAGCACCACGACUAACCACAUUUUGACUGUUGUUUAUCUGGUUGUUCAAUCCAGGAUUCAUUGCCAUCAGCUUAUUGAGUGUAUUUCUAUCAGUUGGCAGACCAUGAACAUUUGCCAUCUGCUCCAUUUCCUGCAUCUUUUGCAUCUGGAGCUUUGAGGCUGUUGUUAGUAGAGGAUAAUUUUUCAAACACUCUGCAGGCAAGGUCAAUGGCAAUGUAAAAAUAUAAUUCCAAAAGCCAAAAAUUAAAACAAUAGAGGGUAACCUCAUUAUAAAAACUACACGCAAAUUACCUAUUGCCCCAACUCUGUGCUCUGCACAGAUAUCUAUUAGGUCUUUCAUGCUGUUGACAACCUCCGAAAUCUGUCAAGCAUUGUAGCAAGUAAUUAUAAGGGUUGAGAAAAUACAUAGCAUAACAAAUCAGAGGUUUUCUCUAUAGUACUCAACACUGUACAGAAAUUUUGAGCUAGAACUUAAUAGCAUACCUGCAGACAUCUCACAUAUCUUUUAGAAAAACCCAAGUCAUUAAGCGAUUGCAACUCCAAAAUCUUUGCAAGCUGGCGCCCUGCUGUCAAUACCCUGAUGCAAAAUAAACAUUAUUUUAAGCUUUGAAGCUUGAGCCCAGUCUCAUUGUAAAUGCUUGUUACCUAGAUGUGACAUACUGUUGUAACCAGCAGAAACUUUUUAACCAAGCAUUGCUUAUACAUUUGGAUAGCCAUUCAGUAAACCCAAUAAAUAUGAAGAAACAUAUUUUGCACCAUAUCCUUUAUAGAGUUGUUUUUAUCCAUCUAUAUACCAAAAUCACAGUAUGCACCAUUCCAAGAAUACAACAUCACACAAGCUGUGCAGCAAAAGAGAAAUACAUAGACUGAGAAAGAUUUGCUAAAAACACCAAACAUUAAGGAACAACAAUGCAUUAACUUACAUGUUGCUGUUUGCUUGCAAAUCUUGCUGAGAAACCCCAUCUGCUCCACUUUCAGCAAUUGUACUCUGGCACUUUUGAGCUACCUGUACUAAUUGGUUGACCUGCAAAUUUGUGAAUCUUGAGUUAGCAGCCAAAUCAAUACCUGUAUACUGCCAUACCAAUCAACCUUCAGACAGGUGAGCAUUUUCUUUCUAUGCAUCACCUCUAAGGCAUUUAAACCUUUCAACUUUAAUUUCAUUGAUCUCCCAUUCAUGAAAUAAGAAGGGAAGUUCCAUUAACGCCUAUCAAUUUCCCUACCCAAAUUUCAAUAUUACUACCGUCAAGUUCACCAAAUUUCACUUCAGCAUUCAGUCCUGACAAAUAUGAUGGUAGAAUUCAAGCAUAUAAAGAGUUAAUUAUGCAACAAUCAUGCACAUUCAGAAUUUUUUUUUGCAGAAAUAUUCUGACUAUGCAAAGUAAACCACUAGGGUAGUCCCUACACUCCCAGCUACCAAAAAACCAAGCACCAAAUGAAGAUCUACAUAACAGAAAUAUUCUAUCAAAUAGCACCAUCAUCUACUAAAAACAAAGAAUGACUGCUAAAGUGAAAAGCAUUCUAAAGGAAGCAGAAACAUACCGGUGGUGCAACCAACCUUCGAGGGAGAAGUUCUUCAUGCCGCCUUGCACAGAACUCCCAAGAUAAUAUCUGUGCAAAUUAACAAGAACUUCAGGAGGUCAUUAUUAUAUAAAAAUGAUUCAAAUAGAAAAUGUACUAGACUAUGAUAACAAUUGUGUAACCUUCAAAUCUUGAGUGAAUAUGAUGCGUAGUUGACCUUCACGAACAACUCGAAGCUGCUCAUAUACACUCUCUUGAACUGCUUUUGCAUAUUCUAACAUCAUCGCACCAGAAGAAAAUCUUAUUUCACGUGGCAAGUCCAGAAAUAAAAGUUCAUCAAUCACACCACCACCAAAUUUGAUUUCAUCAAGUCUAGGUAAUACUUCAUAAGUUGCCUCUGUAAAAAAAUCCAUAAUGGGCAUAUUAGUAUCUGAGAUUUACAUCAGAAAUUAAAAGAAAUAUCCAAUGCACAAAUUGUGUAUCUAACACUAUUGCACGCUUGACUCAGUUAUUUGACCAGCCUAUUAAAGGUUGCAGUUAGUUCAGUUAAUUUUUUCUGAGACCAAGGUUAAACCUUAGUAACAACAAUUAAGAAUGUGAUCACUGGCCACUGGUCAUCGGUAAGCACUGACUUCACAAGGAAAAUUAAACAAAUGAAAUACAAAUUGGAAUUGUAUAAUGAAACUAAAUUCCCAUAAUAACAUACUAUAGAAUCACAACACAAGGGCCAGUUUUGUUUGAUUGGAAGUGAAUCUUGUGUGAUUACUUAUGACAACAGGAAUAAAUGAAUUAAAAAUCCAACCAUACAGGCUCCUAUAUUUCCUUAUAUGAAUACUUACCAAAUCCCCUUCCAGAUUUACAACCACAUAUGUCACAUUGCCAUGCAUCCUGAACAAAGAAAAAAUCCAUGUCACAAUGUAUGCACUCAUCAAACAUUCAAUAGCACUAACAGAUUAAAAGGGAAAAAUGGCGUAGACCUAAAAUAGAAAAGAAUAUAAAUGCAAUAAUUUCAAAUAUAGCUCUGAUUUGGCAAAUUGGCAGGCAUUCUUAGAGUUGUCAACCAUUACAUAAUCAGGUGAUACACUCAAAAAACAGUUUGAAAGGAAAAUUUUGUAAAUGAUUAUCAGCAAAUAUUAAGGCAUCGCCCUAUUUAUAUGAAAGCAAGACAUAAUAGUCAAGGAUAAAUAAAAAGUGCAAAGAUUACCGUAGCUGCUUGGGGGAAAACACCAAGUGCAUGAUGCCCAACAUUGUUAUAUAACGACAAGCACCACCGUUUCUUUGCACGAGGAGAAUAAUAUUCAGCCACAAAUUUUCUCCAAUAAGCAAUACUAUUAUCCUGAAAAAAUAAAUCAAAUGAGAGUAAGUAACUAAGGUUGAAAUUCAAAAAUACCCAAAGCAUAAAACAAUGUGCUCACAUAUAAUUAAGCUCCUGAAGCAAAAGGAAUAAACUUUAUAAAGAAAACAAAAACUAGAUAGAUGAUAUAGUGAAUAUAGAUUUGACACUAUAGUCAUCACAUGCAGCAAAGAAACAACUCACAUUUGGCCGUUGCCUUUGAUGAUAGAGAUACUGCAUCAGUCGACGAGCACAAACCCCACUGACACCAUUGUCACAUGGGCGCUUGACAGCAGAAGAGGGCUGCAUCACUUGUUGCUGUAAUUGCUGCCUCAAUUGCAUUUGUUGUUGGUGCUGCUGCUGCUGUUGCUGUUGCUGUUGUUGCUGCAAGUGCACUCUCUGUAAUUGGGGCAUUGACUGAAAGAUUUGCUGUUGUCUCAGUCUCUGCUGUUGUUGAAGUAAAGCCUGUAACUGUGGAUUACGACCCUGCAAUUGCAUGGAAUCUUGUCUCUGAAGAAUCUGUUGUAUAACCUGAUGCUGCUGCAUUAAAUCUUCCUGUUUGAUAUCCAGUCUAGGUUUCUUUGACAGCUGAGAUGCAUUAUUUGGAUCAUGAAUGAAAGACCCAGGGACAUGUGCACCCAUAUGGAGGGAAGAGGGGCCAGUUUGAGAUGCAGGCAACGAUGUAGCACUUGAAGCACCCUGCAGCUGCUGCUGAUUCUGCUGCAAUUGUUGAGGAUUCUGAUCUUGAUGAGUGCUCUGUUGCACUACAGAGGAACCAUCAAUCACUGAUGAGCCAGAAAUACUAAUAUUAUUUGAUGUAAAUGACAUGGGUGAGGCAGGUAAUCGUAAGUAUGAGUCCGUGUUAACACUGGCACUUCUCUGCAAAUGGGGGCCACCAGAGAGGGCAGAAUUUGCAUCUGUGACUAAAGAACUAGCUCCAACACUUGGUGCUGAGUUUGCAACACUGUUCAAAACUGCAUUAUUCAUAU
rnacentral:lncRNA from 1 species